GAGGAUACAGCUCAGUGGUAGAGUGCUUGCUUAGCAUGCACGAGGUCCUGGGUUCAAUCCCCAGUAUCUCCA
rnacentral:tRNA from 1 species